rnacentral:rRNA from 1 species
UGGGGAAUAUUGCACAAUGGACGAAAGUCUGACCGAGCAACGCCGCGUGAGUGAAGAAGGUUUUCGGAUCGUAAAACUCUGUUGUUAGAGAAGAACAAGGACGUUAGUAACUGAACGUCCCCUGACGGUAUCUAACCAGAAAGCCACGGCUAACUACGUGCCAGCAGCCGCGGUAAUACGUAGGUGGCAAGCGUUGUCCGGAUUUAUUGGGCGUAAAGCGAGCGCAGGCGGUUUCUUAAGUCUGAUGUGAAAGCCCCCGGCUCAACCGGGGAGGGUCAUUGGAAACUGGGAGACUUGAGUGCAGAAGAGGAGAGUGGAAUUCCAUGUGUAGCGGUGAAAUGCGUAGAUAUAUGGAGGAACACCAGUGGCGAAGGCGGCUCUCUGGUCUGUAACUGACGCAGAGGCUCGAAAGCGUGGGGAGCAAACAGG